rnacentral:rRNA from 1 species
UUGAUAAUUAACUACUUAACUUUUAUUGUUGUGGAUAUGAUUUUAUAAUAAAUUCAAAUAUUUUUAUUGUAGUAAUGUUAAUGAAAAUAAAGUUUUGUUUAGUAGUACUGUAAAGGAAUCACAAAGGAUUAUUAAAGCAGGAUUGAUUCCGUACCUUUUGCAUCAUGGUUCAUAUAAAGAUUGUUGUAAUAUUGGGUCUAGAAGAGUUUAGAGUAACUAAAUUUACUAUAAUAUAGUUUUAAAUAUAUUUAUAAAUUUUUAGUGGUAAUGAAAUGUUAACCGAGAAACUUGAUAGCUGGUUAAAAGAGAAUUAUAUUUAAGUAUAGCAUUAUAUUGUGGUUAUAGGAAUUAUGAUUUUAUAAUUGCGGGGUAGUAGAAGUUAAGUUCUACUAUUGUUGUAAAACAGAAGAUUUGAUUGAAUUAAAAUUAAAUAGGUUUAAAGUUGGCUAUUUUUUUAUAGGAAGUAAUAUUUAAAUUUUUAUACAAAAAUUUUACUUAUGUUUUUAUCUAUCUUUUUAUAGUAAAGAGUUAGUUUUAUUAGCGAUUAGUAUGAAAUUAGUAGUUUAAAUUUUAGUAAUGGGUUAUAACGAUUUUUAUUAGCUUUAGAAGUUCUUGUUUAUAGAUUUUUAAAAAUAAAUUUUAUUGUAUGUAAGUCUAAGGAAUUCGGCAAAUAUAAAUUUCGCUUGUUUAUUAAAAACAUCGCUUCUUGUAAUGUAGUUUAAAUAGGAGGUUGGGCCUGCUCUAUGGUAUGUUAAUACUAAAUGGCUGCGGUUGUGUUAAAGUAGCAUAAUCUCUUAUCUCUUAAUUAGAGAUGUGUUGAAUGGUUUGACGAGAAUUUUUCUGUCUCAGACUUAUAAAAUAAAUUUGACUUUCAAAUGAAAAGGUUUGGAUAUUAUAAAAAGACGAGAUGACCCUAUUGAGCUUUUAAUGGUUAAGAUUAUGAAAUAAUUAGCUAUUUUUGGUUGGGGCAACCAGAGAAAAUAAAAAUUUUCUCUACUUAUAAAAAUAAUUCUGAUAGGAUUUAGAUCCAAAAAAUUUUGAUUAGUAGAUUAUAGUUACCAUAGGGGUAACAGCGUAAUUUUAUUUGAGAGCUCUUAUUGAAAAUAAGGUUUGCGACCUCGAUGUUGGACCAGGGUAUCCUUUAGGUUGUAGAAGCUUAAGAAGGUAGGUCUGUUCGACUUUUAAAACCCUACGUGAUCUGAGUUUAGACCGGCGUGAGCUAGGUUGGUUUCUAUCUUUUAUAUUAAAUUGAGUAUACUUGUACGAGAGGACUUUAUACUCCUAAGUUUUAGAUAUUAAUUGAUAAUAAUUUGUUUGUUGGUAA